UACGGAGGGUGCGAGCGUUGUCCGGAAUCACUGGGCGUAAAGGGCGCGUAGGCGGCUGGGGAAGUCGGCGGUGAAAGCCCGGAGCUCAACUCCGGGUCGGCCGUCGAGACUCCUCGGCUCGAGCUCACUAGAGGCAGAUGGAAUUCCGGGUGUAGCGGUGGAAUGCGUAGAGAUCCGGAAGAACACCGGUGGCGAAGGCGGUCUGCUGGGGUGAGGCUGAUGCUGAGGCGCGACAGCGUGGGGAGCAAACAGG
rnacentral:rRNA from 1 species